GGAUAUUCCCUCACUUUUGGUUACUGGCUCCCUGCUGAUCCAUUCCUCCUUGCCCUACAGGGCUACGAAGAACUGGAAAGACAACUUAAAGAAGUCUUUAAGGAAAGGAGCAACAUUCUUCGCCAGCUGUCAAAGACAUCCAGAGAACUUGAAGGAAUUAAAGUAAACCUCCAGUCUUUGAAAAACGAUGAGGCAUCUGCUAAAACCGACGUACAGAAACUCUUGGAAUUAGGCCAAAAACAAAGGGAAGAAAUGAAAUCGCUCCAGGAGGCCUUUCAAAAACAGCUUAAUGAGGCAAUUAACUUUUUGAAGACUGAAAUGGAAAGGAAGAGCAAAAUGAUCAGGGAUCUUCAAAAUGAGAACAAAAGCCUGAAAAAUAAACUCCUUUCUGGAAGCAAGCUUUGCGGCAUUCAUGCUGAAGAGUCAAAAAAGAUCCAAGCCCAACUGAAGGAGCUUCGCUAUGGGAAAAAGGAUUUGAUUUUUAAGGCACAGCAGCUUACAGACUUGGAACAAAAACUAGCAAUUGCAAAAGAAGAAUUGGAGAAAGCAGCUCUUGACAAAGAGUCACAGCUGAAGGCUCUGAAGGAGACCGUACAACUCUGCCUGUCUUCAGUUUUGCACAAUCAGCCUCCCACUACAAAUGUAAUCCCUUCAAGACCGACUGAGAGACAGACAUCCCCAGUUACAAAUGGUUCAAAAAUUCCAUUUCAAGUGACAAGCACCAAGGUAUCUUUUUUCUUCUUUUUUAAAAAUGAGAGUGUGUCCUGA
ensembl:lncRNA